rnacentral:rRNA from 1 species
UUCGGUUUGGAGCAACACCCCGAAAGGGGUGCUAAUACCGGAUGAAGUCCCCCGGGCGAAGGCCUGAGGGAUGGAAGGCGGCCUCUGCUUGCAAGCUGUCGCCGAAGGAUGAGCCCGCGGCCUAUUAGCUAGUUGGUAGGGUAAUGGCCUACCAAGGCUGCGAUAGGUAGGCGGCCUGAGAGGGUGGCCGCCCUCACUGGGACUGAGAUAAGGCCCAGUCCCCUACGGGAGGCGCAGCCAAGAAUAUUGCGCAAUGGGCGAAAGCCUGACGCAGCGACGCCGCGUGGGUGAUGAAGGCUUGCGAGUUGUAAAACCCUGUUGGGUGGGAGGAAACACGUUACAGCUAAUAUCUGUGACGAAUGACAGUACCACCCCAGAAAGCCCCGGCUAACUCCGUGCCAGCAGCCGCGGUAAUACGGAGGGGGCUAGCGUUGUUCGGAUUUACUGGGCUUAAAGGGCAUGUAGGCGGUCCCAUAAGUCGGGUGUGAAAUACCACGGCUCAACCGUGGCACUGCGCUCGAAACUGCAGGACUUGAGUUCGGGAGAGGAGAGUGGAAUGGCCGGUGUAGGGGUGAAAUCCGUAGAUAUCGGCCGGAACACCAGUGGCGAAGGCGACUCUCUGGCCCAGAACUGACGCUCAGGUGCGAAAGCCAGGGUAGCGAACGGGAUUAGAGACCCCGGUAGUCCUGGCCCUAAACGUUGGGUACUAGGUGCAGGAGUUAGUCAACGACUUUUGUGCCGAAGUUAACGCGUUAAGUACCCCGCCUGGGGACUACGGUCGCAAGGCUGAAACUCAAAGGAAUUGACGGGGGCCCGCACAAGCGGUGGAGCAUGUGGUUCAAUUCGAUCAACGCGAAAAACCUUACCAGGGCUUGACAGCCAUCUGAUCGCGUAGCGAAAGUUACGUUUCUCUUCCCGAGACAGGUGGAACAGGUGGUGCAUGGCUGUCGUCAGCUCGUGUCGUGAGAUGUUGGGUUAAGUCCCCCAACGAGCGCAACCCCUAUGUUUAGUUGCCAGCGGGUUAAGCCGGGAACUCUAGACAGACCGCCGGUGACAAACCGGAGGAAGGUGGGGAUGACGUCAAGUCAUCAUGCCCCUUACGCCCUGGGCUACACACGUGCUACAAUGGUCGGUACAAUACGAUGCAAUAUCGCGAGAUGGAGCUAAUCGCCAAAGCCGGCCUCAGUUAGGAUUGCAGGCUGCAACUCGCCUGCAUGAAUUCGGAAUCGCUAGUAAUCGCGGAUCAGCAUGCCGCGGUGAAUACGUUCUCGGGCCUUGUACACACCGCCCGUCACGUCAUGCGAGUCAGGUGUACUCGAAGUCACUGACCCAACUCUUCACGGAGAGGGAGGUGCCCAAAGUAUGUCUGGCGAGUGGGACGAAGUCGUAACAAGGUA